rnacentral:lncRNA from 1 species
CGCUCAAUAAAUAUGAUGGACUGACCUAUGCCAAACUGCCCCUGAUGAACUGACUCCAGUUACUGACCGGGUCGCACUUCUCCUGCACCCCGAAGUUUCCAGGCGGCGGGCACCCUGUUUUCUCCAUGAACGUCCUGAUGAGUCCUCUCGAUCGGUUCUGGAGUGGCGAGGUGUGGUUGUAAGUCCACUGACGGUGUCGCGGGACUUGGGUCAACCGGUCUCGGCCCUGACUGCUGCCGCCACCUUCUGCUGGGGAAUCCCUCCAAAGCUGGGCCCCUCUGGCUGGGGGGCUGACCAGGAAGACCAGUGUCACCCAGAAUCCUCCUGGGAUCUUCCCAGAGCACAUUUCGGCCCCUCUCUUCCAGAUGAGUCGGUCGUCAGUGGGUUAGCCGGGGUUUGGCGUUUACCGAGUACACUAUGUCAGAAAUAAAAAUGAUUAAGCCUCUGGAGCUUUGUGGCCUUUUGAAUCCCUGAAAGUAUUUCGUGGUUGGAAAGUCCAGUGUUUUUUUAACAUUCCUUGAUGCGGGUCUGGAAGCUAGAGAAGGAUUAGCUUGUAGCCUUCUUGGAAACUUGUCAGUUGCUAAGGAGCGGGUUACUUUUAAGAUAACAAUGGAGGUGGGCACAACUUAGUACAUACUUUUCUGGGCAUGGGGU